rnacentral:rRNA from 1 species
AGUUACCAGCACGUUAUGGUGGGCACUCUAAGGAGACUGCCGGUGACAACCGGAGGAAGGUGGGGAUGACGUCAAGUCAUCAUGGCCCUUACGGCCUGGGCUACACACGUGCUACAAUGGUCGGUACAAAGGGUUGCCAAGCCGCGAGGUGGAGCUAAUCCCAUAAAACCGAUCGUAGUCCGGAUCGCAGUCUGCAACUCAACUGCGUGAAGUCGGAAUCGCUAGUAAUCGUGAAUCAGAAUGUCACGGUGAAUACGUUCCCGGGCCUU